rnacentral:rRNA from 1 species
UACGGAGGGUGCAAGCGUUAAUCGGAAUUACUGGGCGUAAAGCGCACGUAGGUGGUUUGCUAAGUCAGCUGUGAAAUCCCCGGGCUCAACCUGGGCACUGCAGUUGAAACUGGCAAGCUAGAGUAGGGUAGAGGGGUGUGGAAUUCCAGGUGUAGCGGUGAAAUGCGUAGAUAUCUGGAGGAACAUCAGUGGCAAAGGCGACACCCUGGACUCAUACUGACACUGAGGUGCGAAAGCGUGGGGAGCAAACAGG